GUGGGGAAUAUUGGACAAUGGGCGAAAGCCUGAUCCAGCCAUGCCGCGUGUGUGAAGAAGGUCUUCGGAUUGUAAAGCACUUUAAGUUGGGAGGAAGGGCAGUAAGUUAAUACCUUGCUGUUUUGACGUUACCGACAGAAUAAGCACCGGCUAACUUCGUGCCAGCAGCCGCGGUAAUACGAAGGGUGCAAGCGUUAAUCGGAAUUACUGGGCGUAAAGCGCGCGUAGGUGGUUUUGUAAGUUGGAGGUGAAAUUCCCGGGCUCAACCUGGGAACUGCCUCCAAAACUGCAUGACUAGAGUACGGUAGAGGGUAGUGGAAUUUCCUGUGUAGCGGUGAAAUGCGUAGAUAUAGGAAGGAACACCAGUGGCGAAGGCGACUACCUGGACUGAUACUGACACUGAGGUGCGAAAGCGUGGGGAGCAAACAGGAUUAGAUACCCGGGUAGUCC
rnacentral:rRNA from 1 species